ACCCGCAAGGCCGACGGC
rnacentral:misc_RNA from 1 species